AGUAAAUAGAUACCCGGGUAGUCCACGCCCUAAACUAUGUCAACUAGGUGUUGGGUGGGUAAAACCAUUUAGUACCGUAGCUAAACGCGUGAAAGUUGACCGCCUGGGGAGUACGGCCGCAAGGUUAAAACUCAAAGGAAUUGACGGGGACCCGCACAAGCGGUGGAUGAUGUGGAUUAAUUCGAUGCAAACGCGAAAAACCUUACCUACCCUUGACAUGCCAGGAACUUGCCAGAGAUGGCUUGGUGCCCGAAAGGGAGCCUGGACACAGGUGCUGCAUGGCUGUCGUCAGCUCGUGUCGUGAGAUGUUGGGUUAAGUCCCGCAACGAGCGCAACCCUUGUCGUUAAUUGCCAUCAUUUGGUUGGGCACUUUAACGAGACUGCCGGUGACAAACCGGAGGAAGGUGGGGAUGACGUCAAGUCCUCAUGGCCCUUAUGGGUAGGGCUUCACACGUCAUACAAUGGUCGGUACAGAGGGUUGCCAAGCCGCGAGGCGGAGCCAAUCCCAGAAAGCCGAUCGUAGUCCGGAUUGCAGGCUGCAAC
rnacentral:rRNA from 1 species